rnacentral:rRNA from 1 species
UACGUAGAAGACUAGUGUUAUUCAUCUUUAUUAGGUUUAAAGGGUACUUAGACGGUACUACUAGCCCAAAUUAGGGUACGGUAGUUACUAGAGUUUUAUAUGUAGAAGGGGAGUAAUUGCACGGAGUAGAGAUGAAAUUUUUUGAUACCAUGACUGACUGACAAUGGCGAAAGCAACCUUCUGUUAUUAACUGACGUUGAGGAACGAAGGCUUGGGAUAGCAAACAGG